GUGCGCGGAGAGAAGAGAAAAUGGUGGAUCACGAGUGAAAUCACGUUUUUCCUGUGGGAUAAAAAAGUAGACUUUAGCUAAAGUAAACCUUGAAAAAGGAAACGUAUAUCAAAACGGACAGCUUUGCCAAAGUUUACGUGUUCUCUUUGUUGUUUUAACGUGCGUUUAAGUGACAGAGCGCUCUCUUCGCGGCUGCUGUGGAUAACUUGUGCUAUCAGAUGCAAUGGCGGGAUUCGUUUCAGAAAUGGACAUGGACUGAAAGCAACAGAGGCUUCGUCAGUGCCGUGAGUUUCAAGAGGAGACAAAUUACAGUGCUGAAGAGAGUAGCAAAGGUGUAUUCUGUGGGCAGACGUUUUGAAAAGCUAAAGUUUAGUAACCACCGUUGCGUAAGAGCUGGUAUUGUAGUGUUUUAAGUUUCAGUUCCAUUGUACCUCGCCAUUAACGUUACAUGCGGUACGCGCAUGGUAAUUCCCAGCGAGUGCGUUUAUUGAGGUUGUGAUCGUUAGCGUUAAAGUGUUUGGAAGACGGCGAAUACAGUUUAAAGACGAUCACAGAAAAAUACGGAACUGUGCAUUCAUUUUGGAUUGAGGAGUAGCGAGUGUUACCGGUGAUCUGGACACACGGAGGAAUCGAGGGAGAUAGAUUGAACUGCGCCGUAGUGUGAAACACGCACACUGGAGCAUCCAUCGUUCAUUAGAACUCUAUCGAAGAGGAGAAGUUCCCUGCCAUCCAAAGACAUCUCCCAGCGACUCAUCUCAUCUCAAGUCUACAGAAUGACAGUCUGUGCUCUGAGAGGAAUCAGGCCCCGGAGUCCCACAUAGCCCAACCCUGAUGAGAUGUGGCACCUCAAAUUGAUAUUGCCUAAAAGAAUUCAGCUUAAACCCAGUGGCACCACAGAACUCCUUGAUCCAACAACAGUUUUCACAACCACUGACAGUAACCUGACCAUCAUCUUCGGCUACGCGGUGCAGGACUGGCAGCCAUACCACGGGCUGGGGCUCCAAGCGCAUCCAGUCCACAAAGUGCC